rnacentral:rRNA from 1 species
AUUGAACGCUGGCGGCAGGCCUAACACAUGCAAGUCGAGCGGUUGAGGUAGCUUGCUACCGAUGCAGCGGCGAACGGGUGAGUAAUACAUGGGAAUCUGCCUGGUAGUGGGGGACAACGUCUCGAAAGGGACGCUAAUACCGCAUACGCCCUACGGGGGAAAGGGGGGGAUCUUCGGACCUCUCGCUAUCAGAUGAGCCCAUGUCAGAUUAGCUAGUUGGUGGGGUAAAGGCUCACCAAGGCGACGAUCUGUAACUGGUCUGAGAGGAUGAUCAGUCACACUGGAACUGGGACACGGUCCAGACUCCUACGGGAGGCAGCAGUGGGGAAUAUUGGACAAUGGGCGCAAGCCUGAUCCAGCCAUGCCGCGUGUGUGAAGAAGGCCUUAGGGUUGUAAAGCACUUUCAGUGGGGAGAAAGGUAAUUCACCUAAUACGUGAGUUAGUUGAUGUUACCCACAGAAGAAGCACCGGCUAACUCCGUGCCAGCAGCCGCAGUAA